AUUGAACGCUGGCGGCAUGCCUUACACAUGCAAGUCGAACGGUAACAGGUCUUCGGACGCUGACGAGUGGCGAACGGGUGAGUAAUACAUCGGAACGUGCCCAGUCGUGGGGGAUAACUACUCGAAAGAGUAGCUAAUACCGCAUACGAUCUGAGGAUGAAAGCGGGGGACCUUCGGGCCUUGCGCGAUUGGAGCGGCCGAUGGCAGAUUAGGUAGUUGGUGGGAUAAAAGCUUACCAAGCCGACGAUCUGUAGCUGGUCUGAGAGGACGACCAGCCACACUGGGACUGAGACACGGCCCAGACUCCUACGGGAGGCAGCAGUGGGGAAUUUUGGACAAUGGGCGAAAGCCUGAUCCAACAAUGCCGCGUGCAGGAUGAAGGCCUUCGGGUUGUAAACUGCUUUUGUACGGAACGAAAAAGCUCCUUCUAAUACAGGGGGCCCAUGACGGUACCGUAAGAAUAAGCACCGGCUAACUACGUGCCAGCAGCCGCCGUAA
rnacentral:rRNA from 1 species